AGGCUAAACGAUUACUACUUCCGUUCACCACAAGUCCUACACACAUACCAUAUGUAUUCACGACAUUCAUUAGUUACAUUUUCACUUAAUUAUUUAAUGUACACUCAAUUUAUUUAACAAAUCAUUACUCUUCUAAUUUAAUUACUUAAUUAAAUUAGAAUAUUUUCAUUCCCUUACUAUUAUUACACUCGAAUAAAUUAUUUCAUAAUAAUUUUCAUCGAAUAUUUAUUUUACUCCAUCAAUAUC
rnacentral:lncRNA from 1 species